UUAGGGGUUUCCGAUGAGAACUCCCGAAGGAUCAUUGGAAACUCCUGCAGAGAUACCGGAACAGUUCGACCUCGAGGGGGAGGGGCGCGAACAAGCCGGAACAUCUCCCGGAGCUUGUGGCUGGGCCUUGGCCCCCGGCCAUAAAACGUAUACCGAGGGGGAAUGCGUGCGGGAAAGACACAAAGACGAUCCCCGCCAUCGAGGCCCCGGGAAUAGAGCCCUGGGCCUUUGUUCCGCCUUGGGGAUGCGGUUUUUAGUAUGAAGAACUACUCUGGUCAACGGAUAUCUGGGCUGUCGAAUCAUUUAUGAACAUAGCGUAAUACUCUAGUAGAAGUGAAUUACAGAAUCCCUUGAACAAUGGAUUUCUUGAACCCAACUUGCGCCCGAAGCCAUCAGGUCUAGGGCACGUCUGCAGGGGAGUCACACCUCGUCGCCCCCCCGAAAUCCCGUCCCGCUCCUAGCCCUUUGGUAUUGACUGUGUGGGGGGGGCGGAUGAUGACCUCCCCUGCCUACUUUUACUUGCUGUUGGUCCAAAAACCGAGUCUCUGGUCACGUCUUCUUGUCAACUAGUAGUCGAUCCUUCGGUUCGGCCUCCCCUGCAUCGCACAUGCAUCUGGAUUCGACAGACCCCAAUGCCUCCAUCAGGUGCUCUAGCGUAGCCAAGGAACGG
rnacentral:rRNA from 1 species